AUGCUGUCUCCGUAUUGCUGCCACCACACUGUUCCCUGGCCGUGACAACAAGGCCACACCUCGACUACGGGAGACCUCAGAGGCCUGAAAAACUGCGUAGUCUCUGCAGGUGCUGCCUGUGGGUCAGGUGGUUGGACAGGCAACCGUUCUGCAGCGGGAUUCUGGGGUCGAUGAACGUGGUCGCUCGGCUGUUGUGGUCCACAAAGAAGUUCUGGACCAAAGAGAAGAUGUUACAGCCCUUAUGUGAAUAGGUGGGUGAGUUAGCUGUGGAUGAACUAAGGAUCUUUGUCUCUGUACCUUGCCCUGAGGGUCAGUCUUGAUCUCCC